UUGGUUUCGGCUGGAGCAUCUGGUAGCUGCUCCGUGGAGGAGGGGGUAAUGUCACACUGUCUGGUCUCUGUUUCGAUUGCCAUUACAAGGCUAUUGCUAAAAUUGGGAAUUUCUACAAGACCUCUGAUAUUAAUUCAUGCUUUAUUAUUAUUAUUAUUACUAGGCCUAAUAGUAGGCAUCAUCUGCAUUUUUUACAGAAGCUUGCAGGUACACUGUAAACCCUAAUGUUGUAAUUAAUAAAGAAAUCAAGUUAACAUAACUUCACAUUACUUAUAACAACCAGUUUUGCCAUCAAAACUUAAACAGGUGUGUUUAAAUUACUCAUUGGCAGGAAAAAUCUUUUGAAUUAAGAUUUUAAGUGUUAUUAACUCAGAAUUUCCAUUUAUUUAAAUUAUUCGGUACGUCUCUGUUUAAAAAUGAUUGGUCAUGCUUGAAAUUCUGCCUUGACAACAGCGCCGAUUGGCCAAUAUAACACAAGGCGGGAAUUUUUUGUCGAAUUUGCUGAAGACGCAGCACUGACUGCAGGACACAGUCAUUUGCAGGAACACCUGAAAGAACAAAUAAAUAAUAAAGUUUAAAGUUAAAUAGCGGGCCAGCUGCACAAGAAGCCAGACAGGCGUUAAAGCAGGCGGGAAGAGAGUCGUCGUGAAAGACCCAGAGUACGCUGGGACAGUAACACUAGCAGGCAGGUGGUUAUGAAGCAGACGAGGAGGGGGAAGAGUCGAGGCCACAGGAGUAACUUUACGCUGGUAAAUUUUGAUUUAUUGUCUGUUAAAUGUUAUUUUUUUUAUACAAAUGGACUUUAGGUAUAAAUGCAUUUAAGUUAAAACCCCUUAACUUCCAAACAUAGCCAAUGUUUUACAGACUAACUUAGCGCUGUUGUUUACAAUAGGCCUAAGCGUGAUAUUGCGGCUCGAACUUCGAGAAAAAUCUAUUUCCAGACACUGAAAUGGAUCUUUGUGUAAUUUGUGAAAGGACGUUUCUUUUAUUUGGUGUAAAAUUUGGCUGCCGCGUGAAUACUGACUUAUGCCUAACGUUAAUCGUUACAAGAAUUUCUUUGGCCGGUAUGUUUACUAAAAACCGCAGACCUUUUCCCGCCUGCGACACAUUUACAGAGAUAUUAUUAAUUAAUGAAUAGCUAUGUGGAAUGAAAUUAUAUGAAAUGAUAGGUCUAUGCAAGAAACUAAACCUCAUAUAUUACCUUUAAUCCACAGCUUCUGCAAACAAAGCUGAAUUUGUUUACUACAGUCUGUAACACAAGCGUAAAGAUGUAAUGUUAUAUCAAACUUUGGGAAUCUGUCAAUCUUCCCGAUUUGAGAUCACACAUGUGAAUGUUUUUUGCUUUUUUUAAACGGGUUGCAGCAUUAAGAAUAGCAGCAAGUAUCAUUUUGAUGAACAUCACAACAGACCCAUCUCCUCCUGACAGCCUGGAGCGCAAGUGCCGUGAUGUGUGAUUUAUUUACAACUAGCAGGAUGUGCAAAAUGGUACUUGCUACUAUCCUUG